GCUGGGCGUGGUGGCACGUGCCUGUAAUCCCAGCUACAUGGGAGGCUGAGGCAGGAGAAUCGCUUGAACCUGGGAGUCGGAGGUUGCAGUGAGCCAAGAUCGCGCCACUGCACUCUAGCCUGGGUGACAGGGCGAGACUCUGUCUCAA
rnacentral:SRP_RNA from 1 species